rnacentral:tRNA from 1 species
GCCUGAGUGGCUCAGUCGGUUGAGCAUCUGACUCUUGAUUUCGGCUCAGGUCGUGAUCUCGGGGUCGUGGGAUCGAGCCCUGCAUCGGGCU